GCCAGGUGUGGUGGUGAACACCUGUAAUCCCAGCAGCUUGGAAGGCUGAGGCAAGAUGAUUGUGAGUUCAAAGCCAGCCUCAGCAACUUAGAAAGGCCUAAUCAACUCAGCAAGACCCUGUCUCUA
rnacentral:sRNA from 1 species